rnacentral:rRNA from 1 species
AUUGAACGCUGGCGGCAGGCCUAACACAUGCAAGUCGAGCGGAUGAAGGGAGCUUGCUCCUGGAUUCAGCGGCGGACGGGUGAGUAAUGCCCAGGAAUCUGCCUGGUAGUGGGGGAUAACGUCCGGAAACGGGCGCUAAUACCGCAUACGUCCUGAGGGAGAAAGGGGGGGAUCUUCGGACCUCGCGCUAUCAGAUGAGCCUAGGUCGGAUUAGCUAGUUGGUGGGGUAAAGGCCUACCAAGGCGACGAUCCGUAACUGGUCUGAGAGGAUGACCAGUCACACUGGAACUGAGACACGGUCCAGACUCCUACGGGAGGCAGCAGUGGGGAAUAUUGGGCAAUGGGCGAAAGCCUGAUCCAGCCAUGCCGCGUGUGUGAAGAAGGUCUUCGGAUUGUAAAGCACUUUAAGUUGGGAGGAAGGGCAGUAAGUUAAUACCUGGCUGUUUUGACGGUACCAACAGAAUAAGCACCGGCUAACUUCGUG